UUGAUUUUUAAGCGGAAAUAUCUUUUCUCUUCUUUACCUUCACACGACUUCUCAAAACAUCUUAUAUUUCAAAUUGAAAACCCUAGAUUUAACCCAAUCAUCUACCUUCGCGAAUACAAGUCUUCGGAUUCCUCUCUGUUGUUUCGGUUGUGUAACUUCUUCUUCAAUCGGCAUGAAGAAGGAAGAAGGCGCAAGUCACUCGAAGGCACAAGCAUCUCAAGAUCGCGUAUUUGAUACUAUGGAUUUGUUGUAA
rnacentral:lncRNA from 1 species